GGAACAUCUCUUACAAAGGCCUGUGAAACGCAGUUUCUUUGCAGGCCUGAUCUGGCUGAAGUAGAACUUCUGCUCUGGGUGUGCUACAUUGCCCUAGAGCUGCAAGGCACAAAGUGCUGCCUUCUUUCCUUAAGGGCAGAUGGCCCCUAAAGCAUCUUGCUUCCAGCUCUUUGGGAAGCUAAGAAACAACUCGCUCUGCACAGUGCUCUAACAGCCUACAGGGAACAUCUCUUACAAAGGCCUGUGAAACGCAGUUUCUUUGCAGGCCUGAUCUGGCUGAAGUAGAACUUCUGCUCUGGGUGUGCUACAUUGCCCUAGAGCUGCAAGGCACAAAGUGCUGCCUUCUUUCCAAAGGGUGAGAAGGGCCCCAAAGCAUCUUGCUUCCAGCUCUUUGGGAAGCUAAGAAACAACUCGCUCUGCACAGUGCUCUAACAGCCUACCGGGAACAUCUCUUACAAAGGCCUGUGAAACGCAGUUUCUUUGCAGGCCUGAUCUGGCUGAAGUAGAACUUCUGCUCUGGGUGUGCUACAUUGCCCUAGAGCUGCAAGGCACAAAGUGCUGCCUUCUUUCCAAAGGGUGAGAAGGGCCCCAAAGCAUCUUGCUUCCAGCUCUUUGGGAAGCUAAGAAACAAGUCGCUCUGCACAGUGCUCUAACAGCCUACCGGGAACAUCUCUUACAAAGGCCUGUGAAACGCAGUUUCUUUGCGGGCCUGAUCUGGCUGAAGUAGAACUUCUGCUCUGGGUGUGCUACAUUGCCCUAGAGCUGCAAGGCACAAAGUGCUGCGUUCUUUCCAUAGGGGCAGAUGGGCCCCAAAGCAUCUUUUUUUUUUGUUUUGUUUGUUUAUUAAUGUUAUGAUGGAUUACAAGCUUGUGAAAUUUCAGUUGUACAUUUUUGUUAGUCAUGUUGUGGGAACACCACUUCCCCCUCCGUGCCCUCCCCCCACCCCCCCUUUUCCCUGGUAACCACCGAUCAGAUCUCCUUCUCAAUAUACUAAUUUCCACCUAUGAGUGGAGUCAUAUAGAGUUCGUCUUUCUCUGACUGACUUAUUUCGCUUAACAUAAUGCCCUCGAGGUCCAUCCACAUUGUUGUGAAUGGGCCAAUGUCGUCUUUUUUUAU
rnacentral:lncRNA from 1 species